rnacentral:rRNA from 1 species
GUGUGUGGCCACGUCUCCCAGACUGCACGCAAUGUCGUCAAAUCUAGGAAACUAAGCCAGGUCUAGUCUGGAUUACACUCGGAUGGGAGACCACCUUGCGUGACAGGUGUUAUAGGCU